rnacentral:rRNA from 1 species
CUACGGGUCGCACCAGUGGGGAAUAUUGGGCAAUGGGCGAAAGCCUGACCCAGCAACGCCGCGUGAAGGAAGAAGGUUUUCGGAUCGUAAACUUCUAUCCCAGGUGAAGAUAAUGACGGUAGCCUGGAAGGAAGCCCCGGCUAACUACGUGCCAGCAGCCGCGGUAAUACGUAGGGGGCAAGCGUUGUCCGGAAUGAUUGGGCGUAAAGGGCGCGUAGGCGGCCUUCUAAGUCCGAUGUGAAAGUCCUGCUUUUAAGGUGGGAAUUGCAUUGGAAACUGGAGGGCUUGAGUGCAGGAGAGGUAAGUGGAAUUCCCGGUGUAGCGGUGAAAUGCGUAGAGAUCGGGAGGAACACCAGUGGCGAAGGCGACUUACUGGACUGUAACUGACGCUGAGGCGCGAAAGUGUGGGGAGCAAACAGGAUUAGAUACCCGGGUAGUC